ACAUGCAGUCGAGCGAACGGACGAGAAGCUUGCUUCUCUGAUGUUAGCGGCGGACGGGUGAGUAACACGUGGAUAACCUACCUAUAAGACUGGGAUAACUUCGGGAAACCGGAGCUAAUACCGGAUAAUAUUUUGAACCGCAUGGUUCAAAAGUGAAAGACGGUCUUGCUGUCACUUAUAGAUGGAUCCGCGCUGCAUUAGCUAGUUGGUAAGGUAACGGCUUACCAAGGCAACGAUGCAUAGCCGACCUGAGAGGGUGAUCGGCCACACUGGAACUGAGACACGGUCCAGACUCCUACGGGAGGCAGCAGUAGGGAAUCUUCCGCAAUGGGCGAAAGCCUGACGGAGCAACGCCGCGUGAGUGAUGAAGGUCUUCGGAUCGUAAAACUCUGUUAUUAGGGAAGAACAUAUGUGUAAGUAACUGUGCACAUCUUGACGGUACCUAAUCAGAAAGCCACGGCUAACUACGUGCCAGCAGCCGCGGUAAUACGUAGGUGGCAAGCGUUAUCCGGAAUUAUUGGGCGUAAAGCGCGCGUAGGCGGUUUUUUAAGUCUGAUGUGAAAGCCCACGGCUCAACCGUGGAGGGUCAUUGGAAACUGGAAAACUUGAGUGCAGAAGAGGAAAGUGGAAUUCCAUGUGUAGCGGUGAAAUGCGCAGAGAUAUGGAGGAACACCAGUGGCGAAGGCGACUUUCUGGUCUGUAACUGACGCUGAUGUGCGAAAGCGUGGGGAUCAAACAGGAUUAGAUACCCUGGUAGUCCACGCCGUAAACGAUGAGUGCUAAGUGUUAGGGGGUUUCCGCCCCUUAGUGCUGCAGCUAACGCAUUAAGCACUCCGCCUGGGGAGUACGACCGCAAGGUUGAAACUCAAAGGAAUUGACGGGGACCCGCACAAGCGGUGGAGCAUGUGGUUUAAUUCGAAGCAACGCGAAGAACCUUACCAAAUCUUGACAUCCUUUGACAACUCUAGAGAUAGAGCCUUCCCCUUCGGGGGACAAAGUGACAGGUGGUGCAUGGUUGUCGUCAGCUCGUGUCGUGAGAUGUUGGGUUAAGUCCCGCAACGAGCGCAACCCUUAAGCUUAGUUGCCAUCAUUAAGUUGGGCACUCUAAGUUGACUGCCGGUGACAAACCGGAGGAAGGUGGGGAUGACGUCAAAUCAUCAUGCCCCUUAUGAUUUGGGCUACACACGUGCUACAAUGGACAAUACAAAGGGCAGCGAAACCGCGAGGUCAAGCAAAUCCCAUAAAGUUGUUCUCAGUUCGGAUUGUAGUCUGCAACUCGACUACAUGAAGCUGGAAUCGCUAGUAAUCGUAGAUCAGCAUGCUACGGUGAAUACGUUCCCGGGUCUUGUACACACCGCCCGUCACACCACGAGAGUUUGUAACACCCGAAGCCGGUGGAGUAACCUUUUAGGAGCUAGC
rnacentral:rRNA from 1 species